rnacentral:lncRNA from 1 species
AAUUUUUUUCAGGUUUUUUCUUAUGCCAGCUCUGUGUUUGAAACAGGUCGAGUCAGCAGAACACAGAGGGAGAAGGGAGGAGUGCCAGUUAAUCGUUGCGAGGAUGGAUUACUGAGUACUACCGAGUACCCACUUUGAUUAGCACAAAGGGAAAUUAAAGCUAAAUUCUUCUAUCAUCUUAUCAUACCCCACGCACUCUAGCUGUAACUUUAGCUCCUUUAAUUAACGCGAUGAGGUCGAGAGUGUGCGUAACAAGAAGCUUCCACUGAGGUUUGCCGCUUGUGAGAAGUUUUUUUUUCUUUUGAGCAAAACAUGUGAGAAGAUAAAUCAGGAAUAUAGGAGUCAGUUCUAGUCCAAGUCUAACAAGCCGGCUGCUAUGUUCUUUCAUAAUCAGUCGGUCUGAGCCCAAUUUGCUCGCAGACGAGGCCAUAAUGGGCUGCGAAUUGUUGGAAAUCAGAUGGCAUGCGUAGGCCAUCAGUUUCCGCUAUCCUCGGCCCUGAUAUACAGGCUUGCCAUGCUCUCCUAAAAAAAGCAAAAAUAAAAAAAUACAGGCUUGCCACGCAAUUCUAUUUUCAGUAAUGCACAGGCACCAACGGAGGAAAUUGCACAAACCACUCAUCUUUCGUCACCUUGUUGCGGAGAACACCCACUCGACGUCUUUUUUGCGCAAAACACCUACUAUUCGUCUAAUCCAUUGCAGAUAAGUCAUAACCCAAGUUUUAGCUCCUUAACGAGGUUACUGACUGGUGGGGCCCACCUGUCAAUGCCAAGGCAAUGACUAUUCAAGGAGGCAGACUACGCCGGCGAUGAAAAGUUCGUCGAGGCUAUUGUGGGCCAAGGUGAAGACCCACCCGUGGCUGUCGGCUCAGGUGUUCGACGCGGCAGACGCCUU